CCUGCAGGGUGCCGGUGGAGGCUGUCUCUGGGUGCGUGACGUUGGCCCCUAGGCCUCUGGGUGACUCUCCUGGGUGUCUGGCUGGGUUUGGCGAGCUCUCUAGCUGCUAAGGCUGCCCGGGCUGCCCGGGGCUGCCUCCUGCCUCUCUGCCACAUUCUUUUUCUCAGACAAACAGAUUCCUUCGCUCCCUGGAACAGCCGAGCGGGAGGAGCAGCUGUAAAAACAAACACACGGCAGCUGACUGGAGGGCUGUGGGCUGUUUUCUGGGGUCCGCCUGGGCUAGAGCUCCCGGCCGCAGUGGGUGCCCUGGCUUGAACCCAGGGAGGGGAGGGUGGGCCUGUCCCUUUGCUGCCUGGGUGUGGGCCAGCCCCGCUCCCUGGGUUUUCUUUACAAAGGCGGUCCUCAGACGGCUCUUGGCAGGCUCCGUCUGUUCUCCCAGCCCCCUGACGGGCUGUGACUGUCUCCAGCCAAACCUGGAGAGAAAAUAUUUAGAGAAAGGCCGAUCUUCAGCAGAAUGGGCUCUUGGAACCUUGGGAGCGGUCCUGGGCCUGCCUUCUGAGCCACCCUGGGGUGCCCUGAGUCGGCGAAGCGGGCCACGGCGGGGUCGCGGGCCCUCCCUGAGGCCGUGGGCCGUGAGGACAGCUCACCAUGUCUCUGAGGCUGCCUCACAGUGAGUGAGGAACCACAUGCUUACUGGAACUGGGAAAGUCUCCUCGGAGGACGCAGAUCUCACCGGCCCACCUUCUUGCUCUGCUGAGAAAGAAGGUGUCUGCAAGAGGCAAAGAAAAGGACGAGCAUCUUCCUUCGCUCAGCAGACCACGGCGUGAGUUGCUUUGGGUCACCAUCAUACCAUCUACCACCUUCGUGGGAGCCAGACCCAGAGAGAGAACCAUGCUUUCUCCGACUGAGGCCAGACCAAGACUCUGCACAGGGGAAUAAUUCGGUGCCCCUUCACACAGGGGAAAAAAUGGAUUUCCGACCAGAUCAGCAUUUGGCUUCAAGUCACAGAGAGGUGUAAAACAAGACAGAGGUAUAUUCCUCUCUCACCAGCAGACUGUGCCUGACGUGGGAGCUCUGCUUUAUGAAGUCCUUAGGGACCCAGGCUCUUUCUAUCCUACUGCUCUGCCAGGCAUAGCCUCCCAUCCCUAGGUCACGUCAUGAUCCAAGCUGACUGCUGCAGUGACAUUCCGGCCAGCAGAGAGGAGAAAAGGAUCAAGAAGGAGCAGUAGAUGGUUCCCAGAACCGAAUUAUGAUACUUCUGAUUUCAUCUGACUGGCCCAAACUUUCCCACAUGGUCACUCCUGGCCGUGAGGGGCUGGGACAUGGAGUCUUUAUUCCGGGUGGCCACGUGCCCCGCCACAGCCGUGGAGUCUCUUGGCAGGGAAAGGGGGGAGAAAGGACACUUUAGGUAAAGAAACAGGCUCUGCCAAACUUAUUAAUUAAAACAUUUAUGCACAGACAGAUUUACUCACUAAUUUACCUCCCCUGGCUGUAGAAAAAUUAAUGGCCUACAAAAGUGGCAAAAUGUCUUACACUUUUUGUGGUUCUUUUUUCCUCACCUCGGUUUUCUUUGGCAAUUUCCCAAGUCAGACAAUUUGGUGGGGGAAGCAUAUUG